AAGUCGUAACAAGGUUUCCGUAGGUGAACCUGCGGAAGGAUCAUUAACACUAUUAAAAUACGAGCAUUCCGGGUUCUUUUCUUUUCACGAAGAAAACAUGCCCUCUGCUCUUAUCCAAUUUACCCAAACUUUUGAAAGUGCUUGUUGAUUUUUACUCUUGGCAACGAGAAAAAAAUCACUUUUUAUUUUUUUCUAUAAAAAACCACAAAUCUUUUUUUGCUAAUGCAAAUGACAAUUACUAAAAACAAAAAUAACUACUUUAACGUAACCAAACAACUCUUAGCAACGGAUAUCUUGGCUCUC
rnacentral:misc_RNA from 1 species